rnacentral:rRNA from 1 species
AUAUGCAGAGAUGAGAUUUCGGUCAAAUCAAGUGUAUCUUUAGUGGCGGACGGGUGAGUAACGCGUGGGUAACCUGCCAUAUACAGGGGGAUAACACUUAGAAAUAGGUGCUAAUACCGCAUAAGCGCACAUGGCCGCAUGGCCAGGUGUGAAAAACUCCGGUGGUAUAUGAUGGACCCGCGUCUGAUUAGCUAGUUGGUGAGGUAACGGCCCACCAAGGCGACGAUCAGUAGCCGGCCUGAGAGGGUGGACGGCCACAUUGGGACUGAGACACGGCCCAAACUCCUACGGGAGGCAGCAGUGGGGGAUAUUGGACAAUGGGGGGAACCCUGAUCCAGCGACGCCGCGUGAGUGAAGAAGUAUCUCGGUAUGUAAAGCUCUAUCAGCAGGGAAGAAAGAAAUGACGGUACCUGAGUAAGAAGCCCCGGCUAACUACGUGCCAGCAGCCGCGGUAAUACGUAGGGGGCAAGCGUUAUCCGGAAUUACUGGGUGUAAAGGGAGCGUAGACGGUGAUGUAAGUCUGGAGUGAAAGGCGGGGGCCCAACCCCCGGACUGCUCUGGAAACUAUAUGACUGGAGUGCAGGAGAGGUGAGCGGAAUUCCUAGUGUAGCGGUGAAAUGCGUAGAUAUUAGGAGGAACACCAGUGGCGAAGGCGGCUCACUGGACUGUAACUGACGUUGAGGCUCGAAAGCGUGGGGAGCAAACA